AAAAAAAAAAAAAAUUCAAUCAAUAUACAAACACCAACCAUAUACCUGGAGGCAGUGGUCACUGCAGCUGUGGGACCUUGGGCCUCAGUUUCCUUGUGUGUAACGAGGGCAACGACAUUGGCCUCUUGGGAGUGUUGCGAAGGUUAAAGGGAGUAGCAGGUGCAAGGCUUCCCCGGGCCUCCUGCGUGGCUCAGCAGAGAGGUAUCAAUGACAGAGUCAUGUUUACCAAGGCCUUAAGCUCUUCAGUUAUUUUAUUCACAUGAUCCUCAAAAUAAGCUGAUGGAGAAGGCACUGUUUUGUUGGUCACCCCUAUUUUAUGGCCCAGGAAGCUGAGGCUCAGAGAAGUGAGAUGACUUGCCCAAGGCCUCGAGGCCGGUGCGUGGUGGACAGAACGGCGCUGGACACCAGAGCCCGGCUCGUGACCAUUGAUCGGGAGAUGGAGACAAGUCAGGGAUGCCACCAGAGGAGGGAGAGGGGAGGGAACACGGUCAGACUGAUGGACCAGAUGGUGGGGGUGGACAUGGGGGAGGGUGCCCCUAGCUUCUAGCCUGGUGACCAAGUGGAAGGUCAUUGCAUUUCCUGAGUGAGGGACACAGUGGGACAGGCAGGCUUGGGGAGGAAGGACGUGCUGUCGGGGUGUCUGGGUCAGGGAGGCCAGGAGGUCUGGAGUCUAGGCUGGGGAUCUGUCUGGAAAGGGCGGACUGAGCUCAUGGGGUGAGUGGAGGGCAUGUGGGCGGGUGCAGGAGCCCCAGCCCUGAGAUGAGGUCGAUAGCAGGCACUGUGCUUCCUUUACUCUGUGCCAGACACGAUCCGAAGCCCUCGUUUUAUUUAAAUUCUCCCAACGAACCCUAUGAGGCAGCACCAUUACCAUCCAUCCCCAUUUUAUGGAUGGGGAAAUUGAGGCCAGAGAAGUUCAGGCAGGUCCAGAAUAGGCGCAUCUGUAGGACAGAAGGUAGACUGGUGGUUGCCCAGGGCUGGGGGGAUGGGGAUGAUGGCUAAAGGGUUUGAUUUGGGGGGCGAUGGUUGCACAACUCUAUAAAUAUCCUAAAGACAUUGAAUUGUGCACUUUAUUGUUAUUAUUUCUGGCUUUGCCCUUAGCAUGUGGAAGUUCCUGGCCCAGGGAUCGAACCCUUGCCAUAGUAGUGAUCUGAGCUGCAGCACAGGUUAAGAACCCGACAUAGUGUCCCUGAGGAUGCAGACUCGACCCUGGCCCCACUUAGUGGGUUAAGGAUCCAGCGUUGCCACAAGCUGUGGUGUAGGUCACAGAUGGGGCGCGGAUCUGGCAUUGCUGGGCUGUGGCAUAGGCUGGCAGCCGAAGCUCUGAUUCAACCCCUAGCCUGGGAAGCUCCAGAUGCUGCGGGUGUGGCCCUAAAAAGAAAAAAAGAAAGCUGAGAGAGAGCGAGAGCCGCCCAGCCAGCAGGGCUUGGAGAGAAGGGGCCUCGGGGGCAGGGAGGAGGGCAGAGGUACAGGGAAGCCCGGGCGGGUCGGGUGUGGGGCAGAGGCAGUUUGGGGGAGAAGCUGGGGGAGGAUGUGUUUGCAGCGUCAGCUGCUCCCAACUGGCCCAGGGAGCGAGACCUUGGGGUUUGUCAGGCCAGGUCCCCCGGUGACCUGGCCCACAGUGGUGGGGGGCCCGGCCCUGCGGCGGAGGGGCCCUUCUGGGGGUGGAGGUGUUCAAGGAGCACGUCAUCCUUUCGGAUGCAGACAUCCUUGCCCCUGGGUGGAGGUUUCUCCCCCUUGGGAAGCAGGAACCCCCCUCCCCCAACCCCAGCACUUGGAGGCUUUUGCUGCAUGUGACUUGAGGGGUGGAGGUUGGGGGCGAACCCCUCAGCGGUUCUUCCUGAAGGAGCAAGACCCCCGGUCAACCGCUCACCCAGAAGCUUCGUACCGCAGCCUCUUCCACGAGAGGGUCCCCGGGCUGCUGGGAGGGCACUAAGUGAAGCCCGGGGACAGCGGUGCCACUCCCACCCGACAGAGAGGGCGGUCGCCAUCGGGAUGGCAGCCAGGCUUCCCAACUGAGAAUGGGAGGCCAAGCUGCCCUGGUGUCCAGGUCAGGGAUGCGGACGCAUGGAGAGGCUCCAGGGGCCCCUUGGCAGCUGUGGGCAGCAGCCUCCUCUCCAGGCCUUCCGUGGCCACCACUGCCACAGCCCUGCUGCCGGUCGUUUAUUCAGUAGCUGUCCCCCCCAUGCCUCCAGCCUUGGGUCUGCGAUGCAGGAGGGAGACUAGCCCAGGGCCAGGCUCCCGCGAGGGGGUGGAGCACAUGUAAUUCUCUCGGGAGGGGUCUUGCUGGAGUCCCCCCAUCCCCAUCAGGCACUUCUCCCCCAGGGAACCCCUCACAGGCCCACUUAGAGCCCGCUUCUCCUUUUUGACACAGUCAUGAUACCUUGGUGCUCUGAUUUCCUAGACCAGAGCGGCGUAAAAGAUCAUUAGAAACGUGCACGGAGAGAAGGAAGGUCCAAAAAGAGGGAAACAGUUGCUAAAACUCAAAUAUUUGUUAAAGAGUUCUGUCUUAUAUUAAGUGUUCUUCUCCUAAAACAAGACCCACAAUUGGCCUUAUUGGAAACAACCUUUGCAGCCCACUCUAACUGAGCACCUAGAGCCACUGUGUAACCAGGGCCACCUGUGGGCACUGCCACUCAUCACAGGACCUGUGGGUGCUGUCCUGGCUGUUACUGCAGAAUGCCUUGGUACAAGGGACAAGAAUGCAUUUGCAGGACACUUUGUUAAACCAACUAGGUGUGAAAGACAGGCCUGGGGGUCCCCGCUGUGGCACGGCGGAAAGGAAUCCAACAAGUAUCCAUGAGGAUUCGGGUUCAAUCCCUGGCCUUGCUCAGUGGGUCAGGGAGCUGGUAUGGCUGUGAGCUGUGGUGUAGGUUGCAGGAGUAGCUUGGAUCCUGUAUUGCUGUGGUUGUGGUGUAGGCCAGCAGCUGCAGCUCGGAUUCAACCCCUAGCCUGGGACCUUCCAUAUGCUGCCGGUGUGGCCCCAAACAGCCAGGAGAAAAAAAAAAAAAAAAAAAAAAAAAAAAAAAA
rnacentral:lncRNA from 1 species